rnacentral:rRNA from 1 species
CUAAUACAUGCAAGUCGAACGCUUUUCUUUCACCGGAGCUUGCUCCACCGAAAGAAAAGGAGUGGCGAACGGGUGAGUAACACGUGGGUAACCUGCCCAUCAGAAGGGGAUAACACUUGGAAACAGGUGCUAAUACCGUAUAACAAUCGAAACCGCAUGGUUUCGGUUUGAAAGGCGCUUUUGCGUCACUGAUGGAUGGACCCGCGGUGCAUUAGCUAGUUGGUGAGGUAACGGCUCACCAAGGCAACGAUGCAUAGCCGACCUGAGAGGGUGAUCGGCCACAUUGGGACUGAGACACGGCCCAAACUCCUACGGGAGGCAGCAGUAGGGAAUCUUCGGCAAUGGACGCAAGUCUGACCGAGCAACGCCGCGUGAGUGAAGAAGGUUUUCGGAUCGUAAAACUCUGUUGUUAGAGAAGAACAAGGAUGAGAGUAAAAUGUUCAUCCCUUGACGGUAUCUAACCAGAAAGCCACGGCUAACUACGUGCCAGCAGCCGCGGUAAUACGUAGGUGGCAAGCG